AUGGAAACGAGAUCAGCAGGGGAGAGCGAACGGGAAAGAGGGAGAGAGAGAGGCAAUGGAGAAGGUGAGAGACCUGGUAUGGCCUCGGACCAGCCACCUUAAACCGGGAUAACGAUGACAGUGAUUGUGUCACUUGGUCAGAGAACGAAGAUCGAGAACGGUAGUCUAAAACCCUAGGCAACGAUGGCGUUCCGGUGAUGAGAUUGCAGGUGUAUUCUUCAUACGAUUAGGUCAUAUGGUUCAGAUGACUGCAGCGAGUGGCGGCUAGGGUUUUGCUCUAUUUUAGUUGUUCAUCCUUUCCUUGCUUCUGUCGAGUAUUCUGAGCGACCUUUCAAUUUCAUUUUAAAUAAUCAGAUUUGGAGUAGCUUUAAACGUUGCUUGAAUUAGCCAUUCUAAGAAACCGGAAGAGUAAAGAGAGAGCGCGUGCAUGGAGGAAUAAGAUCUGGUGGCGGCUGAUGACGACGGUGUCUAUCGAUCGUCAUCAGUCAUCAUUGAUGUCACGAUUCAAGAUUAGACGGCGGCUCCGGUGCUUGACCAGUGGACGCAUACUCAG
rnacentral:lncRNA from 1 species